GGUGGCUCAGUGGUAGAGUGCUUGCCUUGUAUGCAUGAAGCCCUGGGUUUGAUUCCCCAGCACCA
rnacentral:tRNA from 1 species